rnacentral:misc_RNA from 1 species
GCCUCCGGUCUGCUGAAGCGGGGCACUCCCAGGCGCAGGAGGGAGUUCUAGGUGUUUUGCGGUUGUGAUAGGCCCUGGUGCGGCUUGGUAGGCGUUCUGUCCGCCGUGCGCAGCAAGACACCAAUACAAGCGGUUGGAGUUGUUCUCGAAGGAUUCCCGCACCUUUCGCGGGAUUUUGUUCCGCUGCCACCGUAUUCUGUAUCACAUGAUUACCGCUAUGCGGCGCCACCCGACUUGCGCGGCCGAGCGCUUCGUAUAGAUGCUCCUGUAUCCAUACCGUAUAAUGAACCUACACACGCACCCUCCAAGGUGCAGCGCAGAAAGAUUUAGCCAUUCUUUUUGGUAAGAUUGAUGCCGCCACCGGUGCAGCCGCAUGAGUGCGAGAGGAAACCCUGUGACUCACCAGCAGGGUCAUCACACCCGCGACGGCGGCGGCGAUGCGGCGGCCGCUGCUGCUACUCUCCCCCGCUGGCCGUUUCUCGCGCUCAGCAACUCAUUGGUGGCAUCAUCGUCGGCGACAACGGUCUCGCUCAUGGCAACCUCGCAGGCGGCGAAGCCGCCAACACCAUCGAUGGCAACAAUGGUGGAAGCGACAGUACGAAUCAAGCACUUCCGGCGGAUAGCCCACAAAACCUCUACGCACCGAACAAUCUGCGUCGGCCUCUACAACCGCUGGAUCGCCUCGUCGACCCUGUCGUCCGGUUCUUGCGGGUGAACAACCUCUACGCAUCCCACAGCGUCUUCCGCGACCUGCCGCACCCGAGAAUGGCGCCACACGUGCACGGCCAGAGAGCGCAUCGCAUACGAAAGUUGAUCGGCUAAUUCACGUUCCUCUCCCAGAACUCGGCAACGCAGGUGACCCAAGUGCGACUGCGGCUGCCACUUUCGAAAAAAAAAAGCAGGCGUGAUGGCUGGAUGCACCGCAGCCGGCGCGGAAGGCGCGCUUCCUCCCUUCGCCACACAGACAAAAUGGGGCACAUCUUCUUCAAGCACCAGACGGCGCCGGUAGCGCAAUGCAGGCAUGCGCGGGCUGCAGAAAAGUGUUCCGCGCUGUUGCCGACAGCACGGACGCUGCCGAGCGCACCGCGUGCGAAACCGCUUUGCGUGUCGGGACGUUUUUUGUGCGAGGGAGGCUCUCUUCUCCGCCAGUUUGGAGGUGGCUCGAUGGCGACAUGGACGACAGCGGCGGCUGUGUCGCUCCCGGUACGCCUGGUUGACCGACUGUCAUUGUGACCUGAGGAAAGUUGCAGCUCGUGGAUGACCGUGUGCAGCGAGUGCACCGGCGCCGGCAACCGUGUGUGCAUUCCUUCACCUCCCAGCUGACAAUCGUACACCAUAUCAUACCAGACCGUGAGUCCGAGAAGUUUUUUUUUUUGAUGCACCACCAGGGCGUGUGCUGGUGGGAGAGGGCGGUGCGUUGCAGGAGAUGGCCGCCCCGCGGUACACAAACUUGUGAGCUGGAGAAGCGAGACGGCCACCGCCGAAGCUCUACGGGCAUGUGCGCGCACGGCUGUCGGUCUCUCUCUUUGAUACCUUGGCGAGCCUCCUUCACGGCACUAGUGCGGUGGCCCCGCCCUUGUCCGCUUCGCUGACUCCACGCCUUUGCGCAUGUCGUGUUCCUCUUCUCAUGUGCAUCCAGGCCCCAGCAAGUCGAGAGUCUCCCCACCCCCACCCCCUACUCGACAAGAUACAGUGGGAAUGUCGAGCAGUGCGCGCAUGGUGCGCAGCGCAGAAAAUUAGGCUGCUCAUCUGCGUGCCUUUGUG